AUAGGGGACUUCAACGAGAUUCUUUACUCGGAUGAAAAAGAGGGUGGGGCUCCUAGAAGCCAGACUUGCCUCCAGGCCUUCUAGGAUGCCCUAACAGAUUGUUCACUUGAGGACCUAGGCUUCAACAGAGACAAGUUUACAUGGUUCCUUGGAGGGCUGCAAGAGAGACUGGACAGAGCUGUCUCUAAUGAGACAUGGCUGUUAAUGCACCCGUUAGUUGGACUCAGUAAUUUGGAGAUGGGUAAGUCAGACCAUAGGCCGAUUUGCCUUGAUACAAAUUAUCUAGAAGGGGUGGCAGAACCUACUGUGAAUGCCCCACGUAAGUUUGAGGCGAGGUGGCUCGCGGAGGAAACUGUGGAAGAAAUAGUUAAAACUGCCUGGCUGAAGGCAGUGAACCAAGGGCUCUGUCCUACGGCUGCAGAGAAGUUGGCUUCUGUCCAUAACAAUCUACAUGAUUGGGACAGGAAGAUUCUCAAGGCGCCUCGUGCCAGACUAAAAAAGGCCCAAAUAGAGUUGGAACGAUUGAUGAAUAUUCCCUUUACCCCGGAUGUGGGUGCUAAGCAGAAAGAAAUGUCGGUGUUGAUUAAAAAUCUGCUUGAGCAAGAUGAAAUCUAUUGGUCACAACGUGGAAGAGUUAACUGGCUUCGCCAUGGUGAUCGAAACACCAAAUACUUCAGUCUUUUUGCCUCUGCUAGAAGAAGGAGAAAUCUAAUCAAAAAACUGCGUGUGAAUGAGAAUGGAUGGGUUGAGGGGAAUGAUAAUCUCAGGCCUCUUAUCUCGGAUUACUUCAAAAAUCUUUUCUAG
rnacentral:rRNA from 1 species